AACGAACGCUGGCGGCAUGCCUAACACAUGCAAGUCGAACGAGACCUUCGGGUCUAGUGGCGCACGGGUGCGUAACGCGUGGGAACCUGCCCUUAGGUUCGGAAUAACUCCCCGAAAGGGGCGCUAAUACCGGAUAAUGUCUUCGGACCAAAGAUUUAUCGCCUUUGGAUGGGCCCGCGUUGGAUUAGCUAGUUGGUAGGGUAAAAGCCUACCAAGGCGACGAUCCAUAGCUGGUCUGAGAGGAUGAUCAGCCACACUGGACUGAGACACGGCCCAGACUCCGACGGGAGGCGGAAGUGGGGAAGAGUGGACAAGGGGCGAAAGCUUGAUCCAGCAAUGCCGGGUGAGUGAUGAAGGCCUUAGGGUUGAAAAGCUUUUUUACCGGGGAUGAUAAUAACAGUCCGGGGAGAAUAAGCCCCGGCUAACUCCGUG
rnacentral:rRNA from 1 species